AAAAAAAAUAUAUAUAUACACAUACACAAACCAAUUCCUGCUUUGAAUGCCAGGCUUUCAAGCCAGUAACUACUGACAGUUGACAGCCCCAGCCAGGCACUGCUCAGGGCAGCUCUUACCCAGGGAGAUGUGUAAAAGCUGCCCCCAAGAAGUCUCCUUUAUGUGCUAGGUGCCUAUGUGCUGGGCUUGUCAGGGAGGGCACAAUGGAAGUCACAGCAAAGACAGACAUCAGACAAGGUUUUCUUUGCUUUUCCUUUUCCAGUCUGUUCAAUAGGAUGCAAGAUCUAGACCUUGUCCCAUUAGUUCCCUAGACUAAACUACUCUGUAAUACCCGCAAAGAUGUGCUCUCUCCUGACUCCAUGCUCUUGACUUUGUACAUAGCCUUCUCUUGUUCCCAUGUCUCUGUCAGGAGCACCACCAUUCCCUCCAGCUUUGGGAGUACUCACUUCCUGUAAAAGAAUCGGUCCUUGGAAAGGAAAGAGUCUUUGCACUCUCUCUCUCUCUCUCUCUCUAUCUAUCUAUCUAUCUAUCUAUCUAUCUAUAUCUAAUCAAAUUUGAUAUGUCUGAGACAUGGAGCGGCUCAUGGCCCCUUUGGUCAUAAACCCUAGAAUCAGGGUUUGAGGACUAGGAUUGUGGACAUGCAAGGCUUAGGAAUGGUGGCCCUCAUGUGACCCGGACACUUGUUCAAAUCCUAGUUCCUGCUCUCACCCCCAGUGGUUCUGGCUCUAGAAUGAAGAGCCCCAGAUUCUAAGAAUUUAAGAAGCACCCCCCCUCAGGAACCCCACCAUAGGCAGAGAAUCACUGCUAAGUGUUAAAGGGCAUUUGAUUUUCACGCAAAAUCAAAAUUGCAAAAAUCAAUAGGUAAAGAUAGGGGCUACCGGCAUUUCCAGUCUUCCAGGAAAAAAAAAAAAA
rnacentral:lncRNA from 1 species